rnacentral:rRNA from 1 species
UUAGGGCACUGGAAGGUCCNUAAACCGAAAGGGGCUCUGCCCGCCCGAGGAUGGGCCGGCGGCCGAUUAGGUAGUUGGUGGGGUAACGGCCCACCAAGCCCAUAAUCGGUACGGGCAGUGAGAGCUGGAGCCCGGAGAUGGACACUGAGACACGGGUCCAGGCCCUACGGGGCGCAGCAGGCGCGAAACCUCCGCAAUGCUCGAAAGAGCGACGGGGGGACCCCAAGUGCCGUGGUACAACCACGGCUUUUCCGGAGUGUAAGAAGCUCCGGGAAUAAGGGCUGGGCAAGGCCGGUGGCAGCCGCCGCGGUAAUACCGGCGGCCCGAGUGGUGGCCACUAUUAUUGGGCCUAAAGCGUCCGUAGCCGGGCUUGUAAGUCCCUGGCGAAAUCCCACGGCUCAACCGUGGGGCUUGCUGGGGAUACUGCAAGCCUUGGGACCGGGAGAGGCCGGGGGUACUCCUGGGGUAGGGGUGAAAUCCUAUAAUCCCAGGAGGACCGCCAGUGGCGAAGGCGCCCGGCUGGAACGGGUCCGACGGUGAGGGACGAAGGCCAGGGGAGCAAACCGGAUUAGAUACCCGGGUAGUCCUGGCUGUAAAGGAUGCGGGCUAGGUGUUGCUUGGACCUCGAGUCCAAGCAGUGCCGCAGGGA